rnacentral:rRNA from 1 species
UACGGAGGGUGCGAGCGUUGUCCGGAAUCACUGGGCGUAAAGGGCGCGUAGGCGGCGCGGGAAGUCCGUGGUGAAAGCCCGAGGCUCAACUUCGGGUCGGCCAUGGAUACUCCUGGGCUCGAGCACUGUAGAGGCAGGUGGAAUUCCGGGUGUAGCGGUGGAAUGCGUAGAGAUCCGGAAGAACACCGGUGGCGAAGGCGGCCUGCUGGGCAGUAGC